UACUAUUGUCUAAUCAUUAGAACGUAUCCCUUCAGGUUUCGGCGUGUACUUCGAGUGGAGCAAGUCUCCAACGACGGAAGUGACAAUUCAUGUGUCAGACAGUGACGAAGAGGAUGAUAUUGAAGAAGAAAGCUUUCCUGAUGAUGAGGUGAUAGGCGCGGAUGGUGUACUCCGAUCCGACCUGGAGCAGGGCAGUGAAAAACGCACGCUCACUGGGCAUAAGCCGCCUGUCAGUCUUGUCGUGCCGAUCUACCGCCGCGACUGCCACACUGAGGUAUAUGCUGGAUCACACACGUACCCCGGCGAAGGUGUCUAUUUACUUAAAUUUGACAACACGUACAGUCUAUGGCGUUCCAAGACAUUAUACUACAAGGUUUACUACACCCAGUAAAAAAGGAUAAAAUAUAGUUAUUUACUAUUAAUAACCA